CGCUCAGUCAAAAUGCAACAUUUGCCUGUGGGACUAAUACUUGAGAGCAAUAACCUCAAAUGUGGUAGGCUUGAUUACCAACAACGACGAGACAGCCUACAGGAAGGAGGUGAGGGCCCUCGGAGUGUGGUUACAGGAAAAUAACCUCACACUCAAUGUCAACAAAACAAAGGAGAUGAUCGUGGACUUCAGGAAACAGCAGAGGGAGCAGCCCCCUAUCCACAUCGACGGGACAGUAGUGGAGAGGGUGGAAAGUUAAGUUCCUCGGCGUACACAUCACAGACAAACUGAAAUGGUCCACCCACACAAACAGUGUGGUGAAGAAAUUCGGCUUGUCACCAAAAAUACUCAAACUUUUACAGAUGCACAAUCGAGAGCAUCCUGUCGGGCUGUAUUACCGCCUGGUACGGCAACUGCUCUACCCAUAACCGUAAGGCUCUCCAGAGGUCUGCACAAUGCAUCACCGGGGGCAAACUACCUGCCCUCCAGGACACCUACACCACCCGAUGUCACAGGAAGGCCAAAAAAAUCAUCAAGGACAACAACCACCCGAGCCACUGCCUGUUCACCCCGCUAUCACCCAGAAGUCGAGGUCAGGACAGGUGCAUCAAGAGGCUGAAAAACAGCUUCUAUCUCAAGGCCAUCAGACUGUUAAACAGCCAUCACUAACAUUGAGUGGCUGCUGCCAACAUACUGACUCAACUCUAGCCACUUUAAUAAUGGAGAAAUUGAUGUAAUAAAUGUAUCGCUAGCCACUUUAAACAAUGCCAAUUUAUAUAAUGUUUACAUACCCUACAUUACUCAUCUCAUAUGUAUAUACUGUACUCUAUUACCAUCUCCUGCAUCUUGCCAUCUUGAUGUGAUAAAUGUAUCACUAGCCACUUUAAACAAUGCCACUUUAUAUAAUGUUUACAUACCCUACAUUACUCAUCUCAUAUGUAUAUACUGUACUCUAUACCAUCUACUGCAUCUUGCCUAUGCCGUUCGGCCAUCACUCAUUCAUAUAUUUUUGUGCAUAUUCUUAUUCAUUCCUUUACACCUGUGUGUAUAAGGUAGUUGUUGUGAUAUUGUUCAGUUAGAUUACUUGUUAGAUAUUACUGCAUGUUCAGAACUAGAAGCACAAGCAUUUCGCUACACUAGCAUUACCAUCUGCUAACCAUGUGUAUGUGACAAAUAAAAUUUGAUUUGAAAUGUU